rnacentral:rRNA from 1 species
UACGGAGGGUGCAAGCGUUACUCGGAAUCACUGGGCGUAAAGGGCGCAGAGGCGACCUAGCAAGUCUGGUGUGAAAGCCCAGGGCUCAACCCUGGAAGGGCACUGGAAACUGUUAGGCUUGAGUUCCGGAGAGGAGGGGGGAAUUCCCGGUGUAGCGGUGAAAUGCGUAGAUAUCGGGAGGAAUACCGGUGGAGCAUGCGCACCUCGGGACGGCAACUGACGCUGAGGCGAGAAAGCGUGGGGAGCAAACGGG